GGUUGUAGCCAAGAACCGGUGCUCCUCCAUCAUGACCCGGCGGGUUCCAGCUCACCGUCAUGGCGUCCUUGGUGACACCAGACACCUGAAGCUGGAAGGCCGUGCCUGGAGGCUCUGAGUGGAUUUCAGCAAAGCUCAGCUUCGUUCCCUGGUUUCGAGAAGUGUGUCUCGUCUCCCCGGAUUCCCUCUGUACUUCUUGAUGCCUCCCUGGAUCUCGACCUCUUGCCUGCCCCCGGAUUACGACGCCUAGCUCAAGCCCUUGACCUCUUGCCUGCCCACGGACUACGACGCCUCGCUCAAGCCUUUUACCUCUUGCCUGCUCACGGACCUCCGAGCCUGCCUUGCCCUCUCUGGACUUCCGCAGCUUUCACAACACGCACCUUCAACACCUCCCGGUAACACUCAGCACGUACUCGCCUCACAUAGACACACACCAUGUAUUUGGGUUGAUUACAGACGUCACCUACUUGUGCUAAAUAAAAUGCUGCAAGCUUAA